rnacentral:rRNA from 1 species
UACGUAGGGACCGAGCGUUGUCCGGAUUUAUUGGGCGUAAAGAGCGUGUAGGCGGCCAGGCAGGUCCGUUGUGAAAACUGGAGGCUCAACCUCCAGACGUCGAUGGAAACCGUCUGGCUAGAGUCCGGAAGAGGAGAGUGGAAUUCCUGGUGUAGCGGUGAAAUGCGCAGAUAUCAGGAAGAACACCCGUGGCGAAGGCGGCUCUCUGGGACGGUACUGACGCUGAGACGCGAAAGCGUGGGGAGCGAACAGG